UUUCAUCCUCCUUAACAGCACUGUGUCCUGGAAAGUCUCAUCUAGGUGCCUCUCUGUCUCUCUUACCUCCUCCAGUUCAGCCACUCUGAUCUCCAGAGCCCAUAUACGGUCUCUGAGGGACAGGAGCUUCAUGCACCGAAUGCACACAUCCGCCACCUGCCCAUAGGGAUCAGGCACUCUGCAGGUGUGAAGGAGGCAACCCUCAAACUGCAACGGCAGCAGAUGCUUAUAAGAAAAGACGGAGGUAUCACUGGAUUUACAGUCACAAUGGAAAGGAAAAGGUGGUGGUGGUUUUAGCUGAUAUUUCACUCCUGACGGCAACAAAGGCACAGAGAACACAGCUGCUACUGGCAUUCCAAAGUCACCUGUGUCUGUAUGCUGCUAACCUGUUUACUGCAAUGGUGCCAACUGAAUUCACUGUGUAGUGACGUGGAAAAGUGUCUUAGCAUGGAGGAAGAAAUAAGGCAGCCAUCCCUAGAAACCUUCAGUAAAGGAUUGCAGAGUAUCUCCAUGAAAGUUUCAUCAAGAUCUCUCAGGAGGAUACAAGGGACAUCCCUACGUGUACAAGCAAACUGCUCCACGCUCUGUCCCAUCUCCCCUCCCCUAACCCAACAGGGGAAAGAAAAGCACAUGCCAACUCUACCUCUGUUUGUUGUACAGCUAUCUCUUCUUGUACGAGUAAAACAAUGACAAGUUGA